GAGUAGAGAGUUGCAAGUUAUUAUUGAAAGACCAAUUAAAUAAAAAUGUUGUUUGUUCUAUAAAGCCUACAGAAAGUAAAGCUUAAAUAAGAAAGAAAGAAAAGUUUGACUUUAGCUCAUGGUUGUGCUAGGCACUCGUGGCUUUAGCUUUGCAAAACGAAGUGUUUCCAUUUUCUGGAUGAAGCCCUGAGAGCUAAAACGAAGAAAGCAAAAGAGAGAUGGCUGUCCUGUGAACAUACAGCUCUGUAGCUUUAUCUGAUUUCGAUGGACUUUUAAAAUCGCUGAUUUGGAGGUUUACCUUAUAUCCUUAGUCUCUCGAUGCCAUCCUUCGACUUAAGAGGCUCAAACCGCUGAUCUUCACCAACCCUACUCUUCUCCUUCAAGCGGUGACCUUUGUAUGUCGAAAACUAAUUAUGAGGGCUGAGGGUCCCAGCGCCUCAGGGCUGUAUGAAAGUGCUGACAGACGAAGCAGCUACCUGCUGUAGGGUACUGCUGUCUGCUGCCACCAUGCACAACGGCCUGAAGCUAAGGAUCACCUGAGAUCUGUGAGCCGAGAGUGUUGGAGCGCCAGUGAGUGACUACAGUAUAAAACAAUAAGACUCCAAGUCUCUGAGUUCAGAGACGCAGAAGCCUUUGGCAUAACGCCUGGAGAAAUACUGGCCCCUAGCUCUUAGGAACUAUAAGCCUCUGGGUAUGGCCAUCAAGCCUCUAGGCCCUGGGCACUUAAGAGCUUAGCAUUCCCAGCACUGGAAAAGCUUCUGGCCCUUCCACAGUUCUCGUCCAUGUAGAACAGAAACACCCAAGCCAGCUACAAGGCCUUGAAAGCCAGUUACGCAAGCUUCAGUGGGCAAAGACAGAACAGGCGAUGCCCACAUUGUGGAACUUGAAGAAUUCCCUACAUGACCCUUGGCCCAAAAUAGUUCUACUCCACCCAGUCUCGUCCUUCAUUCCUAUCUUGAAAUCAUCCCGUUAAGAGAGUCAUUCCUAUUGUUCCUUCCCAAAUGUUCUCUCUCAAGUCCAGUGGCUGGCUCCAAGUUUUCCUUUCGGGAAAAGAGGCAGAUAGAAGGAGCAUCUGUUGAGCAGAUGUGCUGAGCGCUUUGCCAGAGGGUUUUUUAUCCUUUAUCGUUUGUUUCUUGUGUAAUGGCUUAUCAGUGGAUUUUCUUCAGGAUGGUUGGCCAAGGGAAUAAGAUCUGGGUGAGUGAAGGGCUUGUCCUGGGCUUCGGGUGGGAGGAAUGGAGCAGAGUGAAUGUCAAGUGUACAUCAGGUAAAUGUAUAGACAUAAAGAAAAGGAGGAGUCAGACAGGAGGUCAUAGAAAGCUGGAUUGAGGGCUGGAGAGAUGGCUCAGCGGUUAAGAGCACUGACUGCUCUUCCAGAGGUCCUGAGUUCACAUCCCAGCAACCACAUGGUGGCUCACAACCAUCUGUAAUGAGAUCUGAUGCCCUCUUCUGGUGUGUCUGAGACAGUUACAGAGUACCUAUAUGUAAUAAAUGAAUAAAUCU
rnacentral:lncRNA from 1 species